GUGAGAUGGAAUCAGCGUUUGGACAUGCGAUUUCACACUGAUUUCAUCGCAUGA
rfam:Solanum lycopersicum unplaced genomic scaffold SL2.40sc03908, whole genome shotgun sequence.